rnacentral:lncRNA from 1 species
CCACGCCUCACCCUGUUUUGCAACUUCUUGUUUAUGAGCCUGGAAGCCACGAAGUGGUGGGAAAUACGAGAUUCAAAUAUCUGGUGGCCGUGUGACAAAGUGCUGGGAUUACAGGCGUGAGCCACCGCGCCCGGCCCAGGUUUCUUAUUUCAGGAGCUUCAUAGGCAUAGACCUCCCUCCUUCCCUCCUACCCCCUCCCCCCUCUCCCAACUAAUGCCAGACCGGCCACUACUUUUUAACUGUUUUACAUAUUUAACCUUCAAGAAAGAUUUCCUUUGAUCCAAGUGUAUUGCAGCCCACAAAAAAGCUUGGAAACCCAGCUAGAUGGUCUGUUUUUCUAGUUCCUACAUUGGAUUUAAGUCCUACCCAUCGAGACUACUGUCUUCAGAGGGCAUCUUCAUGUGUGGGCACCAGGGCUGCGGCUGGAACCACAGUGGACACCCCACGCUCCAAGGACAAUCCUCUGCAGAAACCAGCAGCUGGAAACAAUUCUUAAUGCUGCAGGAAGUAGUUAGGAGAAAACGACUGUGUAAGUCAGAGCUAAAACUGGAGUUCAAAAACCACAGAAAAUAUUUCCAAGGCUGUCUGUGAAGUGGGGAUGUCAAAAUACCAAAAAUUACAGCUUUGGAACUGCAGUGGAUGACCUUUAAUUGAUGCAGUUUAUAGGUGCUAAGUAUUGUGUGUGCUUUACGUUGCCUCAUGUGAGUGCUUCAUAGCAGGGUGUGACGCUGGCCAAGUGAUAUACCUACCCUCUUUGUCCCUGUUUCUAUCAACUGUAAAAUGGGGGUUCUAGAGUUGUUGUGAAGAUUAAAUGAGCUAAUACACACAAAGCACCAAGAACAAUGCUGGAUACAAGGUAAUAGGUGUUUCUUCCUAGACUUCACUAUCCUCAUGUGAGGUGGGUAUGUUUAUUUAUUUAUUUGGGGACAGGGUCUCGCUCUAUCACCCAGACUGGAGUGCAGUGUUGCA